AGCGAACGCUGGCGGCAGGCUUAACACAUGCAAGUCGAGCGGGCACUUUCGGGUGUCAGCGGCGGACGGGUGAGUAACGCGUGGGAACGUGCCCUCUGGUUCGGAAUAACUCAGGGAAACUUGAGCUAAUACCGGAUACGCCCUUUUGGGGAAAGGCUUGCUGCCGGAGGAUCGGCCCGCGUCUGAUUAGCUAGUUGGUGAGGUAACGGCUCACCAAGGCGACGAUCAGUAGCUGGUCUGAGAGGAUGAUCAGCCACACUGGGACUGAGACACGGCCCAGACUCCUACGGGAGGCAGCAGUGGGGAAUAUUGGACGAUGGGCGCAAGCCUGAUCCAGCCAUGCCGCGUGAGUGAUGAAGGCCUUAGGGUUGUAAAGCUCUUUUAUCCGGGACGAUAAUGACGGUACCGGAGGAAUAAGCCCCGGCUAACUUCGUG
rnacentral:rRNA from 1 species